AAAAAAUUAGUUAAAAUAUAACAUGAGUAUGUCAAGCUCAAAUUAUCGUAAGAUAUUUCUUA
rnacentral:tRNA from 1 species